AUUGAACGCUGGCGGCAGGCUUAACACAUGCAAGUCGAACGAUGAUUAUCUAGCUUGCUAGAUAUGAUUAGUGGCGGACGGGUGAGUAACAUUUAGGAAUCUGCCUAGUAGUGGGGGAUAGCUCGGGGAAACUCGAAUUAAUACCGCAUACGACCUACGGGUGAAAGGGGGCGCAAGCUCUUGCUAUUAGAUGAGCCUAAAUCAGAUUAGCUAGUUGGUGGGGUAAAGGCCCACCAAGGCGACGAUCUGUAACUGGUCUGAGAGGAUGAUCAGUCACACCGGAACUGAGACACGGUCCGGACUCCUACGGGAGGCAGCAGUGGGGAAUAUUGGACAAUGGGGGCAACCCUGAUCCAGCCAUGCCGCGUGUGUGAAGAAGGCCUUUUGGUUGUAAAGCACUUUAAGCAGGGAGGAGAGGCUAAUGGUUAAUACCCAUUAGAUUAGACGUUACCUGCAGAAUAAGCACCGGCUAACUCUGUGCCAGCAGCCGCCGUAAGAC
rnacentral:rRNA from 1 species